UUGGUUCAGAAGUUACGUUCAUCGACGUUUGUUAUGGCAGCAUCAGAAGCAGCAGCCAGCGGGCUUAACAAGGGUGUGACGUCUGCUCUGCUGAAAACGACCGGUCGUUGAGUUUAUGAUGGGCUCCAGCGGAUGAUUGCACCUUGGCAAAGAUAGAGAAACGACAAGCCAUCAAUAAGGCGGAGUCUGCUGAAACGCACCUCAACCGGCACAGAUCAAACCCAUUCAUCUGUCUCAGUUUCGCAACUCGGUCAACCAUCUAAUCUUGCAUCCGUCGGUAAUCCAUCAACUUCGAAGGCCCAUCAUAGGAGUGCAACAGCUGUGACCAAUACCGAUAAUGAGAAAUAUCGGUUUUCUAAUCACCAGCUUCCUGUCGAUUGCGUUUGCACCUCACCAAGAGGUAGGUAUUGUUCUACGGAAAGGAAUGUGCUGUCUUGCCGUUAUCGAGCCGGAGCAUCGAAUGUCACUUGCCAUUCCAUCAUCUUGGAAACAUGAGCGAUUAACUUUGUCAGUGGUAGGUCAGCUUCUUCAGACGAUGCUACUUACGUAGGAUGGUGGCUGACGCAAAUGAGUUUGCUGAUACCGGUUUGGUAACUUGAGUUCUAUAACAAAUUGCAGAAAGUCUGAACACAUGUAGCUAUGGACACAUGAGAAAUAUAACAGUAGUUUAAAAACACAA